AAUAUAACAGCCUUGAUAAGAAGAAAGGCCAACUGCAGCCUGGCGUGUCCAGCCCUCCUGCCCAUGUCAGCUGCAUACCAGACUUGAUCUACAAGUCUGCUAAACCACUAUGGAAAGUGUGAACAGAAGAAAGGGGUAAAGCAGGAUGGACUGACUCCCUUCAUCUUAGAAAACAUCAUUUGCUAAACAAGCUUUGACAGCCAUAAAAUCUUCUGAGAUGGAGAAGAGGGAAAACAUUUCAGAUGAUAAGUACUAUUACUUUAACAAGUAUAAAGAGGACAUACA
rnacentral:lncRNA from 1 species